rnacentral:rRNA from 1 species
AGCAGCCGCGGUAAUUCCAGCUCCAAUAGCGUAUAUUAAAGUUGUUGCAGUUAAAAAGCUCGUAGUUGAAUUUCGGGGUCAGUAGGUUGGUCAUGCCACUGGUAUGUACUGGCCUCACUGAUUCCUCCUUCCUGAUGAGCCGUAAUGCCAUUAAUUUGGUGUUGCGAGGAAUCUGGACUGUUACUUUGAAAAAAUUAGAGUGUUUAAAGCAAGCUAACGCUUGAAUACAUUAGCAUGGAAUAAUGAAAUAGGACGUUCGAUCCUAUUUUGUUGGUUUCUAGGAUUGACGUAAUGAUUAAUAGGGAUAGUUGGGGGCAUUAGUAUUCAAUUGUCAGAGGUGAAAUUCUUGGAUUUAUUGAAGACUAACUACUGCGAAAGCAUUUGCCAAGGAUGUUUUCAUUAAUCAAGAACGAAAGUUAGGGGAUCGAAGACGAUCAGAUACCGUCGUAGUCUUAACCAUAAACUAUGCCGACUAGGGAUCGGAUGAUGUUAAUUUUUUAAUGUACUCA